CACGUAGGGUGCGAGCGUUGUCCGGAAUUAUUGGGCGUAAAGAGCUCGUAGGCGGUGUGUCGCGUCGGCCGUGAAAACUUGCAGCUUAACUGUGGGCGUGCGGUCGAUACGGGCAUCACUGGAGUUCGGCAGGGGAGACUGGAAUUCCUGGUGUAGCGGUGAAAUGCGUAGAGAUCAGGAGGAACACCCGUGGCGAAGGCGGCCCUCUGGUCGACAUCUGACGCUGAGACGCGAAAGCGUGGGGAGCGAACGGG
rnacentral:rRNA from 1 species